rnacentral:rRNA from 1 species
GUUUGACUGGGGCGGUCUCCUCCCAAAGAGUAACGGAGGAGCACGAAGGUGGGCUAAUCACGGUUGGACAUCGUGAGGUUAGUGCAAUGGCAUAAGCCCGCUUGACUGCGAGAAUGACAAUUCGAGCAGGUGCGAAAGCAGGUCAUAGUGAUCCGGUGGUUCUGAAUGGAAGGGCCAUCGCUCAACGGAUAAAAGGUACUCCGGGGAUAACAGGCUGAUACCGCCCAAGAGUUCAUAUCGACGGCGGUGUUUGGCACCUCGAUGUCGGCUCAUCACAUCCUGGGGCUGAAGUCGGUCCCAAGGGUAUGGCUGUUCGCCAUUUAAAGUGGUACGCGAGCUGGGUUUAGAACGUCGUGAGACAGUUCGGUCCCUAUCUGCCGUGGGCGUUGGAAGAUUGAAGGGGGCUGCUCCUAGUACGAGAGGACCGGAGUGGACGAACCUCUGGUGUUCGGGUUGUGUCGCCAGACGCAUUGCCCGGUAGCUAAGUUCGGAAUCGAUAACCGCUGAAAGCAUCUAAGCGGGAAGCGAGCCCUGAGAUGAGUCUUCCCUGAUACUUUAAGUAUCCUAAAGGGUUGUCGGAGACUACGACGUUGAUAGGUCAGGUGUGUAAGUGCUGUGAGGCAUUGAGCUAACUGAUACUAAUUGCCCGUGAGGCUUAACCAU